rnacentral:lncRNA from 1 species
CGGGUACAAACCUUUUACCGGUACACGGGUUCUAGUACAGGUACAAGGACCAAAAUGUGAAAUUUUUUUUUUCGAAAAUUAUGCUUUAAAAAUCCAUCAAAUUUAAAUUAAUUUCAUACAAAUUAAGGAUUUAACUCUAAAAAUCAUUAUAAUGAAGGUAAAAUAUUAUAAGAUUUCAAAAUACAUCAAAGCAUCAAAAUUUCAUUAUAAAAAAUGAUCUUAAGUUUCAAAAUCAUCAAAAUGUAACGGUUCACGAAAAAUGAUUUUUAGAGCUUUGGCAAAAUUGACACUAAUUUGUUGCAAUCCGUUCAAAAUAGAGAUUUAACUAAUAUGAUACCGGGGGUGGCUCUUUGAGCAUCUUUUUCAAACUAACACCUUAUUACUCCGAAAAUUCUAAAAUAUUCAAUUUUUUUUUUCAACCUUUUCGGUUAUUCAAUUCAAUCUUCAUGUAGUAGCUUCACACACUUGCCGGACGACCGGGGUGGUAGCUCUUUCCUACAUGUGGUGGUAGUUUCAUAUUCCUUUUGGAUGUAACUUUUUCCACAUCUUUUUAAACAUAGGAGUUUUUUUCCCUUUUUUUUAAAAAAAUUUCAAACUCUCCCUAAAUUAGACAAUCUCACAAUUGAAAAUAUUUUGACAAAUUUUAGUCUAUUAGCGAAUAUCCAUCUAUCAUAUUCAACACACACAAUCAAGAUGAAUUAAUUACCAAGAGGUCAAAUUUGAUUUCAAAAUUUUGAUGAAUAUAUGUAUUAAGAAAUCAUAUAUUAAAUUAUCGUCAAAAUAAUAAAAAAUGGAGUAAAACUGAUAAUUAAUAUGAAGUUAAUU